UUAUGGUGGCUCUGGUUCAGACUGCUGAGGAAUGGUGAUCACCAGCCAAGGCUUCAAGAAUCUAGAUCGGAUCACUGGGGAAAAAAUGUCACUUCAUUGUUUUCUGGCCUCCAUUAUAACUACUGAAAAUAAGUUAUUAGUCUUACUUCUACCGCUCUGAACACAAUAUGUCAAG
rnacentral:lncRNA from 1 species